rnacentral:rRNA from 1 species
AGCAGCUUGCUGCUUCGCUGACGAGUGGCGGACGGGUGAGUAAUGUCUGGGAAACUGCCUGAUGGAGGGGGAUAACUACUGGAAACGGUAGCUAAUACCGCAUAACGUCGCAAGACCAAAGAGGGGGACCUUCGGGCCUCUUGCCAUCGGAUGUGCCCAGAUGGGAUUAGCUAGUAGGUGGGGUAACGGCUCACCUAGGCGACGAUCCCUAGCUGGUCUGAGAGGAUGACCAGCCACACUGGAACUGAGACACGGUCCAGACUCCUACGGGAGGCAGCAGUGGGGAAUAUUGCACAAUGGGCGCAAGCCUGAUGCAGCCAUGCCGCGUGUAUGAAGAAGGCCUUCGGGUUGUAAAGUACUUUCAGCGGGGAGGAAGGCGAUAAGGUUAAUAACCUUGUCGAUUGACGUUACCCGCAGAAGAAGCACCGGCUAACUCCGUGCCAGCAGCCGCGGUAAUACGGAGGGUGCAAGCGUUAAUCGGAAUUACUGGGCGUAAAGCGCACGCAGGCGGUCUGUCAAGUCGGAUGUGAAAUCCCCGGGCUCAACCUGGGAACUGCAUUCGAAACUGGCAGGCUAGAGUCUUGUAAGGGGGGUAGAAUUCCAGGUGUAGCGGUGAAAUGCGUAGAGAUCUGGAGGAAUACCG